GGAUAACCUGCCCUACACUGGGGGAUAAUCUUGGGAAACUGAGGAUAAUACCCCAUAGACCACUACGCCUGGAACGGUGAGUGGUUGAAAGCUCCGGCGGUGUAGGAUGGGUCUGCGGCGUAUCAGGUCGUAGGGGGUGUAAUGGACCUCCUAGCCAUCGACGCGUACGGGUUGUGGGAGCAAUAGCCCGGAGACGGAUUCUGAGACACGAAUCCGGACCCUACGGGGUGCAGCAGGCGCGAAAACUUCACACUGCAGGAAACUGUGAUGAGGGAACUCCAAGUGACUGCACAAUGUGUAGCCUUUUCUUGAAUCUUAAUAGUUCUUGGAAUAAGGGCUGGGAAAGACCGGUGCCAGCCGCCGCGGUAAUACCGGCAGCUCAAGUGGUCGUCGCUUUUAUUGGGCCUAAAACGUCCGUAGCCUGUUUGGUAAAUCUGUGGGUAAAUCAACGAGCUUAACUCGUUGAAUUCUGCAGAGACUGCCAGACUAGGGACCGGGAGAGGUAUGAGGUACUCUGGGGGUAGGGGUAAAAUCCUGUCAUCCUCAGAGGACCACCUGUUGCGAAGGCGUCAUACUGGAACGGAUCCGACGGUCAGGGACGAAGCCUAGGGGCACGAACCGGAUUAGAUACCCGGGUAGUCCUAGGUGUAAACGCUGUGGAUUUGGUGUGUGGGGUCCGCAAUGGGCCCCAUGUGCCGGAGUGAAGAUGUUAAAUCCACUGCCUGGGGAGUACGGUCGCAAGGCUGAAACUU
rnacentral:rRNA from 1 species